GAUGAACGCUAGCUACAGGCUUAACACAUGCAAGUCGAGGGGCAGCAUGACCUAGCAAUAGGUUGAUGGCGACCGGCGCACGGGUGAGUAACACGUAUCCAACCUACCGGUUAUUCCGGGAUAGCCUUUCGAAAGAAAGAUUAAUACCGGAUAGUAUAACGAGAAGGCAUCUUUUUGUUAUUAAAGAAUUUCGAUAACCGAUGGGGAUGCGUUCCAUUAGUUUGUUGGCGGGGUAACGGCCCACCAAGACAUCGAUGGAUAGGGGUUCUGAGAGGAAGGUCCCCCACAUUGGAACUGAGACACGGUCCAAACUCCUACGGGAGGCAGCAGUGAGGAAUAUUGGUCAAUGGACGAGAGUCUGAACCAGCCAAGUAGCGUGAAGGAUGACUGCCCUAUGGGUUGUAAACUUCUUUUAUAUGGGAAUAAAGUGAGCCACGUGUGGCUUUUUGUAUGUACCAUACGAAUAAGGAUCGGCUAACUCCGUGCCAGCAGCCGCGGUAAUACGGAGGAUCCGAGCGUUAUCCGGAUUUAUUGGGUUUAAAGGGAGCGUAGGCGGACUAUUAAGUCAGCUGUGAAAGUUUGCGGCUCAACCGUAAAAUUGCAGUUGAUACUGGUCGUCUUGAGUGCAGUAGAGGUAGGCGGAAUUCGUGGUGUAGCGGUGAAAUGCUUAGAUAUCACGAAGAACUCCGAUUGCGAAGGCAGCUUACUGGACUGUAACUGACGCUGAUGCUCGAAAGUGUGGGUAUCAAACAGGAUUAGAUACCCUGGUAGUCCACACAGUAAACGAUGAAUGCUCGCUGUUUGCGAUAUACGGCAAGCGGCCAAGCGAAAGCAUUA
rnacentral:rRNA from 1 species